rnacentral:rRNA from 1 species
UACAGAGGCCUCGAGCGUUAGGCGGAAUCACUGGGCUUAAAGCGUGUGUAGGCGGACUGGUGAGUACCUUGUGAAAUCCCACAGCUUAACUGUGGAACUGCUCGGUAUACUGCUGGUCUUGAGCCACUCAGGGGCUACCGGAACAAAUGGUGGAGCGGUGAAAUGCGUAGAUAUCAUUUGGAACGCCAAUGGUGAAAACAGGUAGCUGGGGGUGUGCUGACGCUGGAGACACGAAAGCCAGGGGAGCAAACGGG